GGGGGAGGGGAAGGGGCGGGAGAAAGGGCGGAGAAGAACCUGGCCAAUGGGAGCGGCUGCUGUUGGAAGCCACCUGCCCAGUCCCCGGCCCCUAGGCACAGCUCGAGAGGGCCGAUCCUGGCCAAGGGCGGUAGACAAGCUCAACCUUUCUCCUCUUCUUUCCUCUUCUUUUUCUGGCUUGCCUGGGGCUCCCACUCUCGAUGCUGCUGCUGCUGCUGCUGGCCUCCUCAGGGCCUUUGUCCAGAGGUGGAGGUUUGUGUAAACCCGAGCAUUCCUGGCCUCGGAUAAAGCCCAGUUUGAAGGUUUGCUUUACUUUUCUGAGCCUGACUGAAGAGGGAGACGAAGACUCAAGUCCGAGCGUUUUUAUUUCAUGAACAAAACUACAACUGUACAGUUACUAGGAAGGUGAGAAAAAUGAAAACAAGGGGAGAAAGGACUUGCCCAGGAACAAGAAUGAAGGAACUCUCUUUGAAACUCAAAUAAAGUCCAAGUAAAAGGAGUCGCUACUUUGGAGUGUGGUGAAAAUCAACUUACUACCUCAAGAGGUGGGACAGGUGGAGAACAUUAAUAGGCUCAAAGAAGUUUGAGAGAAGUUAUGACAGCUAUAGUGAAUUAUGUGAUUCAAGGGAAAUUUGUGGGGAAACCAGGAUGUUUGGGGGGCAUAUCGACUUCAUCACUUCUAGAAGAAACUAUUGCAAUUACCCUCUAACUGGUCUCCAAUCCAGCCUCCCCUUACUCAACCGCCAAGGUGGUUUUUCUAAAGCAUAGGCCUCUCCAUGGCGGCAACCCCACCCAGUGGCUCCCUCUGACCUCCAGGAUUAAACUGGCAUUUAAAUCAUAUCUGUAAUCCUGGUCUACUGGGGUUCCUCAAGCAGCAUACUACACCUGUCCCCCACCCCUGGAAUUCCAUUCCCUCUCACCUCUGCCUCCUUAAGCCUCUGCUCAAAUCUCACCCAUUACAGGGGGCCUUUCCUGGUCCCCAUACUUGCUCCUGCCUUCUCUCAGAGUCUACUCUGUAAAUAUCUUCUCUCUGCCUAGAUGGGGUCUCCCCAGGGCCUGACACAUAGUAUUCAAUAAAUGCUUGUUGGCUGACUAA